rnacentral:lncRNA from 1 species
GAAAUGAGGAUAUGCUGGCCAAAGAGGACAGACAUCCAGUUAUGAGAUGAUGAAGUCACAGCAUGGAUGUUUGUCAUUCCUUAAUAUUUACUCAAAGAAGUUGAAAAACUUGUGUCCGCACCACAACCCACACACGGAUGUUUCCAGCAGCUUUACUGUUGAUGGCCAAAACCUGGAAGCAGCCGAGAACCCCCAGUGGACAGAUGGAGAAGUAAACAGACGAUGGAAUACUAUUCAGCACUAA